rnacentral:rRNA from 1 species
UACGAAGGGGGCUAGCGUUGCUCGGAAUCACUGGGCGUAAAGCGCACGUAGGCGGAUUGCUAAGUCAGGGGUGAAAUCCUGGAGCUCAACUCCAGAACUGCCUUUGAUACUGGCGAUCUCGAGUCCGGGAGAGGUGAGUGGAACUGCGAGUGUAGAGGUGAAAUUCGUAGAUAUUCGCAAGAACACCAGUGGCGAAGGCGGCUCACUGGCCCGGUACUGACGCUGAGGCGCGAAAGCCAGGGGAGCAAAGCGGG